AUAUCAUCUCACACUACUUCACAAUGGGAAUUCGAUCUUCAUAGCAGAGGGGAAAAUGAAGGCCGCUCUUGCGUUGGUAAUUGUUCUGGGUGUUUUUGUGAAUGUUUACGCCCAGUUUGGUAACAAUGUGCAGUUCGCCCAGGUGCAGUUGUACGAGCCUAUAUAUGCAAAUCAAGGGAGUGGAUCUGGAAAUCUAUUUGGCGGAAAUAAUGGAUUUGCCGGGUCAACUCUGGGCAUCCUACCCAUCAUAAUUGCCGUCAUUUUGUUAUUAACCUUUUCACCCAUGGCGAUUGCUUCAUCCAGCAACAUGGAGGCUAGAUAAAGGAAUGGUGGAAAAGUGCUUCAUUUUUACCAACAUCUGCAAUAUACACAUGUAUGAUAAAUAAACACCAUUAAUUAAA